rnacentral:rRNA from 1 species
AAUAUCAAAGGUGAGCCAGUACAGGAUGGACCCGCGUCUGAUUAGCUAGUUGGUAAGGUAACGGCUUACCAAGGCGACGAUCAGUAGCCGACCUGAGAGGGUGAUCGGCCACAUUGGAACUGAGACACGGUCCAAACUCCUACGGGAGGCAGCAGUGGGGAAUAUUGCACAAUGGGCGAAAGCCUGAUGCAGCAACGCCGCGUGAGUGAUGAAGGCUUUCGGG